rnacentral:rRNA from 1 species
UACGUAGGGGGCAAGCGUUGUCCGGAAUCAUUGGGCGUAAAGGGCGCGUAGGCGGUGUGUCAAGUCAGGCGUGAAAGCCCCGGGCUCAACCUGGGAACAGCGCUUGAGACUGGCACGCUCGAGUUCGGGAGAGGAUGGUGGAAUUCCCAGUGUAGAGGUGAAAUUCGUAGAUAUUGGGAAGAACACCGAUGGCGAAGGCAGCCAUCUGGACCGACACUGACGCUGAGGCGCGAAAGCGUGGGGAGCAAACAGG